rnacentral:lncRNA from 1 species
UACUUAGUCUCUUAUGGAUUUUAUCAGUUUAUUCAAGUAGUUGAUUUCAAUGAAUUACAUAAAUAGGGUCAUUUUGUCAGUUGGCAGCUUGUACAAUUCCAUUAAGGAUCAACUGGCAUUUUUUCAAGUGUAGAAUAGACUCCAUUGCAUUCAACCCACUUUUUCAGUCAUCAAGGUCUUAUUUCUUGAUGCCCUGAAGGAUAAUUUCACCAUUUUAUUUAGUUUUGACCUUUUAGCAGCAUCUUAACUUGUUACCCUUUCUCAUAGGAUUGGUAUAGAAAAGAUUUGGCAAAGUUUAAUGCUACAUCAUCCUUGUCAGAGUAAUAAGACACAUACAUAGGUGCAGGAGCUAUAAAUCUCCUGGAUGGUUUGCUGAUUGAUGGCAGUCUCUGAGUCCUGAUGGUAAUUCGGUUGGGGGGAGGGGGAAAUGAGGUUAUCAUGAUGGAGGCCACCAUCACAGUGGUGAGGCUGCAACCAAGGAAACAAUGGCUGUUGACCAGGGGCAGCUGAGGUAGACAGCUGCUGCUCCAACUGUAAGAAGAAUGGCAAAGUAUUGGUCAGUGAAGACUCUGUUGGCCAUACUGGUCGUACUUCUUGGAUGCUGAGAAAACUGGCCAAAUCCUCUGGACCUUUUCAAAGUUAUGAGAUUCCUCUGGCCAAGAUUAGAGUUCAUGUUGACUUAUCUGUGUACAUGUUUCUUCCUCACCAUCCCAAGUAGAAGGUAAGUAUCUUAAGGAUAGGAGCUGCUUUGUUUAAUGUCUUUGACUUCCUAUCAUCUAGCACAAUGCCACUAAGUACUUAAUAAGCCCAAUUGAAUGAAUGAAUGAAACAAACCAUCUCCAGCCCAGGCUAACUGGGCAGAAAUGUGGCAAAUAAAGAGUAGGAAUCCAAUAGUCA